rnacentral:rRNA from 1 species
GAUGAACGCUGACAGAAUGCUUAACACAUGCGAGUCAACUUGAACUUCGGUUUGGGCGGCGGACGGGUGAGUAACGCGUAAAGAACUUGCCUCACAGCUAGGGACAACAUUUGGAAACGAAUGCUAAUACCUGAUAUUAUGAUUAUAUGGCAUCGUAUAAUUAUGAAAGCUAUAUGCGCUGUGAGAGAGCUUUGCGUCCCAUUAGCUAGUUGGAGAGGUAACAGCUCACCAAGGCGAUGAUGGGUAGCCGGCCUGAGAGGGUGAUCGGCCACAAGGGGACUGAGACACGGCCCUUACUCCUACGGGAGGCAGCAGUGGGGAAUAUUGGACAAUGGACCGAGAGUCUGAUCCAGCAAUUCUGUGUGCACGAUGAAGUUUUUCGGAAUGUAAAGUGCUUUCAGUUGGGAAGAAAAAAAUGACGGUACCAACAGAAGAAGUGACGGCUAAAUACGUG